rnacentral:lncRNA from 1 species
GUAAAAUUUCCCUGUGGUUUUAAUUUGAAUGUAUUUGAUGACUAUGAUGAUAUCCAAUUAUUUCAGCAUCACUUGCUAAAAAUACUUUCCUUUCGUCUUUGGAUUCCACUGGCAACUUUAUUGAAAAAUCAGAUAACUAUAUGGAGUCUUUCUCUGUCACCCAGGCUGGAGUAUUGUGGAAUCUGGUCAGCAGCCCACAGUGCAACGUGGCUCUCUCUUUGCUCUCAGGGACAUGGAUGAAGCUGGAAACCAUCAUUCUCAGCAAACUA